GAAUAAAUUAUUUUUUAAAGUAUAUUAAAAUAAAAACCAUUAUUUUAUAUUGUAAUAACAUUUUGCAAAUAUUACAGUCUUUUCUGUAUUUUUGAUCAAAUAAAUGCAGCCUUGAUGUGCAUAAAAGACUUCUUUAAAAAUCAUUACAAGUCUUACUGAUCCCAAACUUUUGAGCGAUAGUGUGCGUGUGUACAGUGUAUAGCAGUUAAAUUUACUCAUCAAUUCACACCAAGAAAUGAAAACUCAAUCAAAUCAAAUCAAAAUUUAUUUAGUAAAGAAAACUACAGCAAAAAUAUAGAAAUGUGUCUAGAAGCAGUUCAGCUGUUUCUUAAUGUCAUCAGAGGUAGAACAGAAAAAUACAGAUGAACAAUCAUCAUCAUCCAUCUGUGUGAUUGUUCAUUCCUGUUUACAUUUACAUAAAUGCAUUUAAGGGUUACACUUUAUCAGUUCAGUUAUUACGUGGAACAUGUUCAUGUUUCCAUCAUGUUUGUCCAAACACAGGCAGCACGAGAUGAAAUCAUGUUGGUUUUAUCACAGUAAAUGUCAGUUUAUUGCUUCAUCACAGUGAUGCGAACAUGAGCUGAAGUUUUAAUCAUUUCUCUGCUGAAUGUUCAUUUUCUCUGCAGGUGCUUCUACAAACGGACUGUUUAUUUAGAAAUAUACCAGUUGUUUGUUCAUUUUCUUGUUUCUCUGAUCGAGUUCUUUCAACGUAAACAUGUUUUCCAAUCUGGUUUUCAUUGAUAAAUUACAAUGUUUUUGUUGGGCUUCUCUCAAUACCCAGACUUGAGCUCUUGGUCAUUUCAGAGUGUGCACAACAGGAACCAAAGCAGGUUUCUUAACUCACAUUAAAAGCACACAAUCUCUGAUAGUGCCUCUGUGUCUGCCAAUAAUCAUUCAUGAACCCUAUGUGGCCCAAAUUCUGUGAGAUUUCAAGGAAAACGUUGCAUUGUUAGUCACAUGAAUUAGAUAUUGCAUACUAUUUGCUAGUAAAGCAAAGUUUGUAUAUUUUAUUGGUUUGUAACACGUUUGCAAUUGCUUUUUCUCUUAGAAGCACCACAAUCACUAAACUGUCAUCACAAGAAGCAGACAAAUGCACAGUAUUGAAAGUAAAUCUCUGUAAAAACUUGCAUUUUUGCAGUACUGUUUCGCAAAUGUGUCUCAUCAGGCAAUCAAAACUAUACGCACACUUACAGUCUUAAUGCACACUUGAGACAAAUACAGGAAAUAACUCAUGCAAGUGGUCAAGUGUGCAAAUUGGGACAAACUCAUCAUGUCUCUUCAUCCUGUCAGUCUUUAAUUAACAAAUGCCACUUCCUUAAAUGACAUCAUCUUCAGGAAGUGACAUCAUCUUGAUGGGACAUCAACUGCACAAACAUCAACAGCAGUCGUUCGUCUGAAAUCAGCGCUGGACUGAACGAGUGAUUGCUGCUGAAUCACAGGGUCUGAGAGACAGACGGAUGGAAAUGAGAUGAAGUGAUUCAUGCGUCUGGAGCUCCUGAAGCUGCUGAAUACUGAUGAUUCCAGCGUCUGCUUCUCAUCUCUCCUGCACAAAACACUCAGGAUUUUCUGUCUGAAAACUGAUUAAAAUGAAAUCAGCUGACGGUCGCAGACGGAUCCUGUGUGUCACGCUGAGCUGUUAAGAGAGACACAGACAGAAAAUAAGACGGAUUCAGUGAGAUCCUCCAGACGGAUCAGAGUACGAGAGAGACGCAACACACAAGAUCAUGUCAGUCUGUUGGACUGUGAUCAUCUUUUUGUCCAGAUGAAUCCUCAGAUCACACACGUGGAGGCACCUGCAGGACCCCGAUAUCAUCCUCAUCAUCCUCAUCAUCCUCAUCCUCCUUUGUGCAUCGUUCCUAUGGCAACGCGACACGGAUGGAAGCAGUGAAUGGAGCCGCAGCAGCGCUUUGCCCUCGUUCUGUCGCUUUUGCUGCUGAAUCCUGAUGCUUCAUUACAAUCUAUCUGGAAACACACACACGUCUCGCAUGAUGAAUGAGAGCCGGCUUAUGAAAUUAAGUAUGCCGUCACGGCAGCUGGUUUACAAACACACACACACAAACACGCAGCGCGUUCUGAAGCCCCUCCACAGGAAGCUCCUCUAGGGAAUGAAAUCAAUAGCUUUAUAUUCCUGCAAUCAAUGAAUCGCCCUGCGGGUCUGAAUAACAGAUGCAAACACACUCGACGGGAAUUAGUUAAAGGGCAGCGGUAUUCAGACAGCAGACACGCUUUAUAAUAAAUGUGAGAUUGACACAUGUCUGUGGUGGUGUUCCUACCAUUACGGGUUCAUUCCGUAGGUGUAACGGUUCUGUAUUUUCUAUGCCCUUAACAUAACCCUACACCUAAACCUGCCCCUCACACAAAACUACAGGCAUUUUUACAUUCGCAAAACACUUCAUUGUGUGUGAUUUUUAAGCUCGUUUCCUCAUGGGGACCAAAAAAAGUCUCCACAAGGUCAAUAUUUGGUUUUACUAUAACAUAGGGAAUAUUCACACUCACACACGGACUGAUGGCGUUGUGCAGAACAGCCUGAACAGGUUUUCCUUGUGUAAAGGUCACGCUGAACCUGAGAAGAAGAACGCUGUUACAGCGCUGUUCAUUAAACAUAAAGGUACUGACUGUUUUACUCUCAUCUUUCUGCAUUUGUCCAGCUGAAGAACAGCGAUGAUGCUUCUGCCAUUUCUCUGAAUGAUGUAAGAGUACUGUAACUCCAUCAUACUUCAGGGACGAUGUGAACGAGAGCCUCUUAAAAGACCUACAGACCAAUGUUUUCCAUUUAUCCUAAACAACAGGAACAGAGCUCUCGUCCUUCCUCCGGUUAGAUUUUCAUUCAGAGUGAGUGUUUGUCGAGGUGACAUGCUGUAGUUUCACAGGUUAUUAUUUCUGAGGUGUGUUAUUUCUGUCAGCAGCUCCGGUGGCAUAAUUUGCAUUUGGCAGACGCUUUAUCCAAAGUGACCUACACUGAAUUCAAGAUAUAGGUUUGAUCAAUUUACGCGGUCGCUGUGAAUCAAACCCGUGACUAUAAUGCUCUGUGUUUAAGUCUGGCUUGUUUCCUAGUCCAGCUUUCUAAUGAACCUGGCAGUGAUCACUCUGAAUACUGUUGGCUCUGUGACAGAUUGCUUAUGCUUGAUUAUUGUAUGUCGUUUUGGAUUGAAGCAUCUUCUAAAUGCAUGAAUUUAAAUGUUAUUUAAAAGCCAAAUUGGGGUUGCUAUUUCUAAAAGGAUCACCACAACACAUUUGGAUUGUUCUUAUAGACGCAGCGUGUUCAUCUCGGCUCAGUGCCGUGUCCUGCCAUGAAAAUUGCACUUUGAUUUGGCGCUCACGUGAAAAUUGGAUAAGAUGUAGCUCACAGCCCUGCGUCUAGUGUGGGUACAAAUAGAGAGCGAUCUGACUGUUCUUCAGGCCGUGUGUCAUGAAUCUUAAUCUCUGGAGGAUUUUCCCACAGACUCAUCAUCUGCCAUCCACUGUAGUCAGAGUACUGAAAACGACAGCUGAAAUUCUCAAUUGUUUUGUCAGACUGAAACCAUUUCGAUUUUAAGUUGUGCUUGGAAAAAAACAUUUAGUUCUGCCGGAGAAAGAUAACACUCAGGAAUAAAGAACAUCCUUUAUGUUGCCCGAGGAAAACACAUUGAUCUGCUCUGGACUCAUUGAGCUGAUUUAGUGAGUUUUUCCUGCAGCGUUUCAAUGGAGAUCUUCAGUGUUCUUCGGUGUUUGGGUCAGGCGUAAGCUCAUUAACUGACCUCAAUUAACAGGACUGCCAUUGAUACCCAAGAGCUCAUUUUUCCCUUCAAGUGUUUCUGGAAGAGCUCAUCUUUUCAAGUACGAGAGGCGUCUCUUGGCUGGAAGACGGGCCGUUUAUUGGAGGUCGUGUGUGAUGUUUGGCGUGAUGGCUGUGUGAAUCCGCUGGCAUUGAUUUUUCAUCACUCAAACUGUCUGACCUGCUGUUUUCUCUUUUUUUCAGCACACCUGUUGAAGAAAAACCUGUAGAUCUUUCCACUGGUUAUGAUGGAUAAAUGUUAAUUACAGUAGUUUAAUUAACUGAAAUUAAAGUGAACCAGUGAGACUCAUCAAACUAAAAUUAAGUGGCAUUUGGGGACAAACCUAAUUAUCCGUGUCAUGCGUUUGAUCUUUCAUUACAGGCGUUUUCCUGAAUCGCUCCAGAGACGAGAUCACAGAUGUACAGGCUUUUCAGUAAAGGUGUGGAAUAACUAACGAUCCGUCCCACAGCAGCUGGUUAUUAAGAACACGGCUGUAAAUCUACAGCACGUUUGCAGCAGAGUUCAUCAAAAUGUCAAGAAUGAAUCGACCUCUUUUUAUUUUAUAUGCAUGUCAUUUGUUGUCAUCUUUCUCUCUGCAGGUCGUUUCAGUGAAUAACACAGAGCUCAUCCACUCAUCUCAGUGCUCCUGCGUUGAGUUUCUAAAUAAAUUUAGCAUGUAAAAUUCUCUAACAUCAUUAGGGCGCCUGUCCUGCUGAGUUAUAAUUACUCUAAAUGAAGGCCAGAGAGGCCGAGCGUCACCUUCAGCAGCAGAAGCUCUUAGCGCCGCUGUUCAUUUGUUCAUUUUCCCUGUUCCCGCUGUAAUCAAUCAUCGCUGAGUGACGGCCGCUUGUCCGCGGCUUCCCGUUGAGCCGGAGAGACCCUCGGGAUGGAGGAAAAUAACAGAUCUCAAAUGAGAUCAAAGUGCCGCAGAUCAAUGGCUGAUCCCUGUCCUUUAAUAAGCUGAAUGAAAAGCUGCGCUGGUUAUAAAACACACUCAAAUGAAGUUGGAUUUAUUGCCUCGACAACAAGAUUGAAUUGUUUUUACAGUCCCCCCUGUGGUUUCAUCUUUAUGUAUUGGAGCUUUUUCACAGACGGCCCUGUUCUUCCAGCGAGAGCGAGGUUAUCUGUGUUUACAUCCAGACGUGUGCCGGAGCCGCGCCGGCGAUAAGAGACGCAGCACAUGUAGGUCAUUGCUGAGAACAGAGAUGUGCUGCCCUGCGCUUGAAGACGUGUGCCAAGAAACCAUUUCCAUUUUAGGACAGCGAUUCCUUCAGUGAGAGCCGAAGAUUUAGAGGCCAAACUCACAUUUAAUUGGGCCCUUGGGGACAAAGAUACAGCUGAAAUACCCUCGUGUCGAGCUAGGGAUCAAAUCAUUCAUCAAAACAUAUCAUGAGAAAUCGUUUAGAACAAAAAUUCUCUCCAUUAUCCAAAAAAAGCGUGAAAACUAAGUCUGUGCUCAGGUCCACAUCCACAGCAGGAAUACUGGGCUGCUGCUCAUUUUCAGACAUGUAGACGUCAGACGCUCAUGUUCCACAUACUGCUGCUAUAGACGCUUACAGCCACAGCAGUAGAAAAACCACCACUGUAAUUGUCAGGAUCAAAGGUGGAAAAUGCUUGUGAAAAAAUAAACCAUGACUGACAGGAAAAAUUACAUUAGAAAAUAGACCAGGAUUAUGAUAUGAGCCCGUGUUUGGAGUUCAGACAGGUCAGAAGGUGUAACUCUACUAGUCUGGAUGCUUGUUUAAAAUAGUUUAGUGAUAAGUGAUGCUUCUUAGAUGAUGGUGUUGAUGGGUGGAGAUUAGUUUUGUGAUGUUAAUGUGUGUAGUUGAUAGCGUUGAUGGGCAGAAUUUAGUUCAGUGAUGUUUGUGUGUGUAGUUGAUGGUGUUGAUGGCUGGUGUGUGUGUGUGUGUGUGUGUGUGUACUUGUUUUUGCUACAUUGUGGACCAAAUGUCCCCACAAGGAUAGUAAAACCUGAAAUUUUUGACAUUGUGGGGACUGGCUUGAGGUCCCCAUGGGUACAAAAGCUUAUAAAUCACACAGAAUGAGUUUUUUUGAGAAAGUAAAAAUGCAGAAAGUUUUCUGUAAGGGUUAGGUUUAGGGGUAGGGUUAGGGUAAGGGGAUAGAAAAUACAGUGUGGAGAGUAUAAAAACCAUUGCACCUAUGGAGAGUCCCCACAAAGAUAAUAAACCAGACUGUGUGUGUGUGUGUAGUUGAUUGUUUUUGAUGGGUGGAGUUUAGUUCUGUGAUGUUUGUGUGUGUAGUUGAUUGUGUUAUUAAUGGUGCUGAUGGGCAGAAAUUUAGUUCAGUGCUGUUUGGUGUGUAGUUAACUGAUGGUGUUGAUGGGUGGAGUUUAGUUCUGUGAUGUUUACAGUAUGUAUGUAGUUUGUGUUUUAUGAGUGGAGUGUAUUUCAGUGAUGUUUAUGUGUGUAGUUGAUGGUGAUGAUGGGCAGAGAUUAGUUCUGAGAUGUUUGUAUGUGCAGUUAGUUGAUGGGAGAUGUUUAGUUUAGUAUUGUUUGUGUGUGUAGUUAACUGAUGGUGUUGAUGGAUGGAGUUUAGUUCAGUGAUGUUUAUGUGUAAAGUUAACUAAUGGUGUUGAUGGGCAGAAAUUUAGUUCAAUGAUGUUUGGUGUGUAGUUAACUGAUGGUGUUGAUGGGUGGAGUUUAGUUCAGUGAUGUUUAUGUGUGUAUUUGACGGGCGGAAUUUAGUUAGGUGAUGUAUAUGUGUGCAGUUGAUGGUGUUGAUGGGCGAAGUUUAGUUCUGUGAUGUUUGUGUGUGUAGUUAGGUGAUGGUGUUGAUGGGUGGCGCUUAGUUCGGUGUUGUUUGUGUGUGUAGUUAGGUGAUAGGUGAAGUUUAGUUCAGUAUUGUUUGUGUGUGUAGUUAACUGAUGGUGUUGAUGGAUUGAGUUCAGUUCAGUGAUGUUUACAGUAUGUGUGUAGUUGGUUGUGUUUGAUGGGUGGA